GUGAGAUUAAAUUUUCUUUGGGUCCUAUUCCAGAACCGCGUCACAUUCAUGUUAAUUUUGGAGGAUAUCAAAGUUCAAGUCCAGACCUGCGUCAUUUAGGUGUCAGUUCUACCAUAGAACGCCGCUUGCUUUGAAAAAAGAGGAAUUGGGGGCACAUACAGAAUAUACUUUUCUAAGUAGUGAUGGUGCUGUAAAGACUAAUAUUCAAAAUCUCUU